CCUCCACAGAAGUAGGUUUAUCAACAGGCACAGAGGUAGCAACCACCGCGUCAGACAUUCAUGAUGUCAGCUGUGGAAGUUAAGGCGAAUGACCAGGUUAUCACUGAUUUAGAGGACGAGCAGGUCCAAGAUGGAGAUGUAUUGAAGACGGAGUAGCAGAAGAAGUCGAAGCUUAGUUAUAGGUCCUCCAUUUACUUUUGUAGCACCUUUCAUUCUGUUGACUAAUGUAUUUUAUAUUUUCAAGCAUUUCUUUCAAAUAGUCUUGUAUUAGGGCAUAUUGACCCGAAUGUUAUGCUUGGGAUGAAGUUUCAGUUGUGAUAUGUAUAUUUUAUAUUCUGAGUUGUUUAUUAUAUUCUCACUACUGUGAUCGGGGCCCUGUGCCUUUGCUUUA